UACGUAGGGGGCAAGCGUUGUCCGGAUUUAUUGGGCGUAAAGAGCUCGUAGGUGGUUCGGUAAGUCGGAUGUGAAAUCUCCAGGCUCAACCUGGAGGGGUCAUUCGAUACUGCCGUGACUAGAGUUCGGUAGGGGAGUGUGGAAUUCCUGGUGAAGCGGUGAAAUGCGCAGAUAUCAGGAGGAACACCCGUAGCGAAGGCGGCACUCUGGGCCGAUACUGACACUGAGGAGCGAAAGCGUGGGGAGCGAACAGG
rnacentral:rRNA from 1 species